rnacentral:lncRNA from 7 species
AUUGGAUUUUCCUCCGCCAAUGCCGCCCUCAUCACGGGGUAUAUAGGGCUCAUGCUACUCCUACAACCGAGCGCCGUUCUAGCAGAGGGAGAGAGAACCCGUGAGUUUGCGCGCCAUCGCCGGUCUUUGGGUGCGUCGUCGCCCAGGGCUCAGAAAAGGACUGGUGCGUGAGGCGUCUGCUUUACGCUGGUCCGUGCGGUCGCGAUCGCGGGCGGAGACCCGAGAACUCGCCGGUGCCAAGUUCCUGGGGUGCGUGGGCGCGACCGUAGGCGCGUCGCGGACGGCUUCAACCUCACCUAAGAUUCCG